UCGAGUCCAACGCGCAGCAAGGCUGGAAUUUGUUUUUUGAAUAAUGGUGUACAAUAAAAUAUAGAUACUUAUUGAAGCAUAUAUUAAGGAUUAUCUAUAUAAACAUUUUAUCAUAAUAAUUUGUAUAGACGUACACAUAUAGGUGUAUAAAAGCUUGAACCCAUCGACAAGCUUCUUCACAAAAACCCAAAACCUUAAGACACUUGUUUAAUAAAAAGAUGGGUUUCAACUUCAUCUCUCUCCUUUUUCUUCCACUUCUAUCAGUGUUUAUCUUGUCGGGAUCCAAGCAAGCCUUUGCUUCGGACAAUACACUCCUCGUGAACACCGACCACCGCAACAGCACGGCGCAAGGUGGGUUGUCGUCACUGAGGGGGAAGAAGCAGAGGAGUGGAUGUAACCUUCCCAUCGACAAGCUUCUUCACAAAAACCCAAAACCUUAAGACACUUGUUUAAUAAAAAGAUGGGUUUCAACUUCAUCUCUCUCCUUUUUCUUCCACUUCUAUCAGUGUUUAUCUUGUCGGGAUCCAAGCAAGCCUUUGCUUCGGACAAUACACUCCUCGUGAACACCGACCACCGCAACAGCAC
rnacentral:lncRNA from 1 species